AACGAACGCUGGCGGAAUGCCUAACACAUGCAAGUCGAACGAGGUCUUCGGACCUAGUGGCGCACGGGUGAGUAACGCGUGGGAAUCUGCCUUGGGGUACGGAAUAACUCAGGGAAACUUGAGCUAAUACCGUAUGAUGUCGUGAGACCAAAGAUUUAUCGCCCCAAGAAGAGCCCGCGUCAGAUUAGCUAGUUGGUGAGGUAAUGGCUCACCAAGGCGACGAUCUGUAGCUGGUCUGAGAGGAUGAUCAGCCACACUGGGACUGAGACACGGCCCAGACUCCUACGGGAGGCAGCAGUGGGGAAUAUUGGACAAUGGGCGAAAGCCUGAUCCAGCAAUUCCGCGUGAGCGAAGAAGGCCUCGGUUGUAAGACUCUUCGGUCAGGACGAGUAAUAGACGGUACCGUCGCAGAAGAAGACCCGGCCGUAACUCCGUGCCACGCAGCCGCGGUAAACGAACCGAGAGUA
rnacentral:rRNA from 1 species